rnacentral:rRNA from 1 species
GAUGAACGCUAGCGGGAGGCUUAACACAUGCAAGUCGAGGGGCAGCAUAGGGUAGCAAUACUCUGAUGGCGACCGGCAAACGGGUGAGUAACGCGUAUGCAACCUACCCUGUACAGGGGGAUAACCCGGAGAAAUUCGGACUAAUAUCCCGUAAUAAUAUCCGGAGGCAUCUUUGGAUAUUUAAAGUUCCGACGGUACGGGAUGGGCAUGCGUAACAUUAACUGGUUGGUAAGGUAACGGCUUACCAAGGCUAUGAUGUUUAGGGGUCCUGAGAGGGUGGUCCCCACACUGGUACUGAGACACGGACCAGACUCCUACGGGAGGCAGCAGUGAGGAAUAUUGGUCAAUGGGCGCAAGCCUGAACCAGCCAUCCCGCGUGCAGGAAGACGGCCCUAUGGGUUGUAAACUGCUUUUCCAGGGAGAGAAACUUACGCACGUGUUGCGUGACUGACGGUACCUGGGAAUAAGCAUCGGCUAACUCCGUG